ensembl:ncRNA F10E9.23 ncRNA
CGUUUCGCAGAGAGAAACGAAGAAGCGGGAAGAUUGGCCGUUGGAAUUCAACGAGACCUCUCUCUACCCAACUGGGUCGUUUUUUGUGUCCCUCUU